UGUCUUCUAGCGUUAAAGCUCAAAUGCCUUCUGGGUUUUACCAACCAAUGUCUUCUCAUAAGAGAUUUUCCUGUUUUCUUGUUUUUAAAUGUUUUUUACCGUUUAAUGUCUCCUUCCCAUUUUUUGGACGGACCAACAUAGUUUCUGGGCUCUCUUCAUUUUCUCUAGAAAUAUUUAUGGGUUUCUCUUGUUCUCUAGCAAUAUUUGUGGGUUUAUCUCGUUCUCUAAAAAAAAAUAUUCUUGGGUUUACAGUGUUCAGAAAGGGAUACUGUUUUGCAGAACAAGCUAUUGUGUUUGCUUUGUGGGGAAAAAUGGACAAGCUUCUUGUGUUUCUGAGGCUUAAAGCAGAGUGGCAUCGUUUGGUGGCUGUGAAAAGUUGGGUGCUUUGAAUGUGAUAGAAGGACAAAGUAAUUUGAGAUAUUCUACUUUUCAAUAUCUAAUUUUCCAGCCAUGUAUGCGGAACUUACCACUCCUCGCAUUGCAGCAUGGAACGAUUUUUUGGUCAAGCAACGCAUCAAGUUGGAGUUAGAAAUGCUUGGAGGAUUUGGCAAAGUUGAGGUAUAAUUAGCUUUUA